GGGGGUGACCGGCUUUGACGGUCUGUACCUUGAAAGACGUGCGGCGCAGUGCCCUCCCGCCACCACUUAAAACUGGCGGGAAACCAAACUUGCCAAGAACACUCUUGCAAGCGCGACAAAGUCGCCUUACUUCGGUAAGGUCGGCGAUAUCGCGUUCGCCUACGCGACCGCUCGCGGCUAACGCCAACAGCCUCGCCUAGCGCGACGUUCACUCUCUAACGGCGCUCACAGCGCGGGAGUGGGCGGAAUAUUCUGUGAGACAUGAUGCACGGACUCCCGACCGCGCAUCUAAAUAAGGGAUCGGGCAGGAAUGGUUUCGUCUGCGUUCCUCGCAUCCUGCCUUAGACACUAACGCUGACUACGCGUCGUAGACUCUCUCUCAAGAACAGAAUCGGACGGGGGUUCAAUUCCCCCCGCCUCCACAA
rnacentral:tmRNA from 1 species